CAAUAGCGUAUAUUAAAGUUGUUGCGGUUAAAAAGCUCGUAGUUGGAUUUCUGCUGAGAACGACCGGUCCGCCCUUUGGGUGUGUAUCUGGCUCUUUCUUGGCAUCUUCUUGGUGAACGUUGCUGCACUUGACUGUGUGGAGCGCUACCCAGGACUUUUACUUUGAGGAAAUUAGAGUGUUUCAAGCAGGCAUACGCCUUGAAUACAUUAGCAUGGAAUAAUAAGAUAGGACCUCGGUUCUAUUUUGUUGGUUUCUAGAGCUGAGGUAAUGAUUAAUAGGGAUAGUUGGGGGCAUUCGUAUUUAACUGACAGAGGUGAAAUUCUUGGAUUUGUUAAAGACGGACUACUGCGAAAGCAUUUGCCAAGGAUGUUUUCAUUG
rnacentral:rRNA from 1 species